CAUGGUAGAAGUGGGAAAGGAGUAAUCCGCUGAUAGAUGGCCUUGCGUCUGAUUAGUUAGUUGGUGGGGUAACGGCCUACCAAGACGACGAUCAGUAGCCGGACUGAGAGGUUGAACGGCCACAUUGGGACUGAGAUACGGCCCAGACUCCUACGGGAGGCAGCAGUCGGGAAUAUUGCGCAAUGGAGGAAACUCUGACGCAGUGACGCCGCGUGCAGGAAGAAGGUUUUCGGAUUGUAAACUGCUUUAGACAGGGAAGAGAAAGGACAGUACCUGUAGAAUAAGCUCCGGCUAACUACGUGCCAGCAGCCGCGGUAAUACGUAGGGAGCGAGCGUUAUCCGGAUUUAUUGGGUGUAAAGGGUGCGUAGACGGGAAUACAAGUUAGUUGUGAAAUACCUCGGCUUAACUGAGGAACUGCAACUAAAACUAUAUUUCUUGAGUACAGGAGAGGUAAGUGGAAUUCCUAGUGUAGCGGUGAAAUGCGUAGAUAUUAGGAGGAACACCAGUGGCGAAGGCGACUUACUGGACUGAAACUGACGUUGAGGCACGAAAGUGUGGGGAGCAAACAGGAUUAGAUACCCUGGUAGUCCACACCGUAAACGAUGGAUACGAGGUGUAGGAGAUAUUAAGUCUUCUGUGCCG
rnacentral:rRNA from 1 species